GAAAUUGCCGAUGCAAAAGAGACAUUCACUGUACAUUAUUCACACAUCUCAACUUCGUUCCAUUUGUUUCUCAUUUGAAACCUUCACAACUCUUAUUGCACAACUCAAUUUUUGUUUUUCACUAUUUUUCUUCCAAGCAAGCAUUCAUCUUUAUUUUCUCUAUAUUAUAUUUUUUUCUCUUUUCUUUCACAUCAUAUUUACAAAACAGAUGUUUUUCUUUUCUAAUUUUUAUUUUCAAUGCUUGCUCGGUUUUUCAAGAGUUGUGGCACUUACAGAUUCUCAUUUUCGUUCUCCCCAACUUAUUUCUUACUCACCCUAAGUGAAUGCUCUUAACUUUUUACGGCAAAAGAACAAUAAUCAAGAUUUUCCGGGUUGUAAAAAAAAAGAUUUUUGAAAUCUCGCUUUAUUUCAAGCUGAGAUUCAACUGUUUAAGCUCAAAGGGGUUAACGAAUACUCUCUCUGCUCACAGGUAAGUUG
rnacentral:lncRNA from 1 species